UUCUGUACAGGAAAACGAAUGACAGAUUAUCAGAUUUCUGGGGUUAAUCCACUGGACAAUGGUGAUUUAGGAUCCAGGCUACAAAGACGUGAGGAAUGUUGCCAGAAAUAUAUGAUGAGUUGUUUGUCUUGCAAAUUACAGCUGAGAAUGUGCUAAAGAACCACUCUAAUGUCAUACACACCGAGUCCUUGUCUUGCAUUCGAGGCUUGUUUUAAGUUGCCUGCGAUCGAUGUAAAAGACUCAGGCAGCUAAAGCAAGUCUGGGACGCCAUAGACACCACGACCGAGACUGAAAGAUCGACAGGAAACAGGAAGUCCAUAUAUGGCCUCAACUCUUCAAUAUACAUAAUAAAAGCUGAGGUGUUAUGUAUAAAGGUGAGGUAGACCUCAGGUCUGAUUUAAUUAUGUUCUCUUUUAUUUCCUUGCACUUUUGAUUACCAAUUAAAGAUUUAUUGAAUAGCAGAGUCAUCUGCCAAUCAAGCUCAGUGGGCGGGAUCAGCAUUAACAUCUCAUCAUUGUGUUCAGUAAGUAAUGAAACACUCCAGGUUUUAUUCCUCUUACACUACAGCAAUUUAACAACAUCAUUACGUCACAACAUGCUUUUUAUCCAUUUAUAGUCACAUUUAAUAUCUGUGAAGCAAGUUAGUUCCUGUUCUUGCUUACGUUAUAGCAGCUAUAAACAUCACUUCCCUCACCAGACAAAAACACGCAGCUUGUUCUAUCAUGUUACCGAGAAACCUUAAAGAAGCGUAAACUCCUCUGUCAUGAAGACCUCUGAAAAUGUAACGUUACAGCUUCGCCUCUGACUGUUACACAGCGCUGACACUGGAGACUCCUUCCAGAAAUGUUAUAUCAGUAAAAUGAACUCAACAGGGUCGUGAAGAAAAAUUUCUGGAUGUGACAUCUAAACAUCUACCCAAUCAGGACGAGCAAGCGUCUUUCAUCUCCUGUCAAUCAGUUCAGAAUGCUCCGCCUCCUCACAGAAGGGUUCAGGAAUGUAUUUUGGAGAUGUGGCUUUAAAACAACAAACUUCUUCUGAAAUCAUGAGUUCAAUGUAAAACCCUUAAAGGAGCUCACGUUUGUUCUGCUGUAAGGUUCUGUGUAGAACACGACAGGAUGAAACAGAGGAUUUGUCUAUCAGGAAGGAUUCUAAGUAACAUGUUAGGAACCUGGUUCUCUCAAAGCACACACACACUAUUUAUUUAGAGAGAAAGACAAAUGUAUAAUUAAUGUUUAACGUUUUUACAAUCCACUGAUAAAGCAGGAAUGAGAGAGAGAGAGAGAGAGAGGGAGAGAGAGAAACAUUAGAAAACUGAUUUAUGUAGUCCAUAAAAAAGAGAGGGCGGGUCAUAAACAGGAAGUAAUUAUAAUGUUGUUGGCUGUGUUUUAAAUAUGUUCAUUACUCAUACUGAACUUCUCUGUAUACAGAAUGAACAGGAGUUAGAGAAUCAUGAAUCAUUCUCAAAUGAUUCGUAAGGUUUUUUUUAAAUGACUCAUUAAGGUGAAUGAAUCCAUGUCAUUGCUGUACAUUUCUCCCACUUCUUCACUCACUGGACACAGAUUUGACUCUGGCAUCAGAAAAAUAUUUAUUUAUUUAAAUUUUUACACAGGAUUCAUUUAGGUUACUUUAUGUAAUUUACUUAUUUAUUUACUUAACAACUCUUAUUUUCACUUUUAACCCAUGAAUAAUUUUUUUUGGACUCAUGAUUUAUUUUCAAACAUGUUUGAACACGGUUCUUUUCUGUUUAAACACAUCUCAUGUUUUUACAUGACUCAUUUAUUCUGCCUUAAGUUUUGACUUAAGAUCCACUAAUCUUUUCCCAUGUGUGUUAAUUAAAUCCAGUUCAUUUAUUAUCUACAGUUGCUUAUUAAACCUGAUUCAUGAUCUGUGAGUCAGUGAAUCAUUUGAGCCAUGUCAGAGUUCGGCUCAGUGAAUCAGUGAGUGAGUGUACUGGUUCCAGUUUCAGGUGGAGAUCUGCAGUGUUUCAGUGGAUCAGAAAAGUGUGUGUGUGUAAGUGAGGAGCCAUAAUGAUCCUGAACAAGGAUGUGGAUGAACAUUUAUCUGAACUGAUCUUCAGCACUUGCAGGAAUGUUGGGUUUGUGUUCUCUGUGGUUCAUUUCAUCACCAACACAAAGUCCUUGUACACUUUGAUUUAACAAACCUCUGAUAUAAAUGAUAAAUAUUAACCCUGAAUCUGAGCAGCGACGUCAUUGUGCACGCCUCCAUCUCGUCUGCUUUAAAAUGCAGAAUAUUUGGCAGUGAAACAGUAAUGUUCACCAGCUCCUCCAUCAGGAAUCAGAAACAGAGAGACAUGACCUCGGCCUCAGGCUCAUGUCCUGUUGGCUCACACUUCAAAGAUUCACAGAGUUAAAGUUAAUCCAGAUGAUAAACUUUAACAUGAAGCAAAAUCAGAGAAAUUAACAGCUAAAGGAAGUGAAUCAGCUUCAUGUGCAUCUUUUUAUGAAGCAGGUGGAUUUUUUUUGGUAUGCUGAAACCCCUGUGUUUGAUCAGACUGAGCAUUUGGAGAAAAACAGACAAAUGAGUCGAUUCACUGAAAAGAAUUUAAAUUCCUACCACUAUUUCCAGUCCAGGAAGGAGACCUGAUGAUCUGAAUUUACAUUUAUCCUUAAAAAGAAAAAAAAAAAAAACAACUUAACUUCGGUGUCAUUGUAAAUGAUGAAUAUUAGCACACUUGUUUUUCAACAUGAAAUGAAGAAUAUCAAUCUCUUUAUUUCUUUAUGUUCAGGAGUGUUGUGAUGAAUCGUCAUGUAUCUAACACUGUGGUUUUCUGCUUAAAAGUCUUCAUGCCUUCAUUCUGGUUGUAUGAAGUUUCAUGUGAGGAGUUUUGUUUUUCUCUCCCCCGUUUUUCACAUCUCAGAGUUAAACUUGGGCAUCUUUUAUUUAAAUGAAAGAGACAUUAAACCAUAUUGCUCACUAAAAUAAAGAGAACUGAGUGAAAAGUGUAAAUCUCGGAUCCUCGUGAGGAGGUCAUUAGUGUGUGAUAUGUACCUUCAUUACUGUUAUUAAAAUAUAAUUAUGAUAA